rnacentral:tmRNA from 1 species
GGGGCCGAUUUUGGAUUUGACAGCAAGAUGAUAAAUCGGGUAAGCAUGCCGAGCACUUGGAAGACCAGCUCGUUAAUCUUGAACUUCUAAGUCAGAAAUGACAACACUUCCUACGCGCUCGCAGCCUAAUCGACUCAGUCGAUUGGCAUAAUUGCAUCACCAAGUGGUGCAACGGGCUAUCUCGAAGCAACGUACGGACCCUUCCGUUGUUUCAAUGGGUAUCAGGCAAAUGGGACUAGUUAAAGGUGUGUCCUACACCUAGCGCGAAAUUUACUGGACUAAGCUGUUAGGUGGGCUGUCUGUGGUCAGCCUUCAGUCGAAAUUCAAUUACAGAAUAAGCAUGUAGAAAUCACGGUAUGUCCUUGUUUGGACGGGGGUUCGACUCCCCCCGGCUCCACUU